rnacentral:rRNA from 1 species
AGCAGCCGCGGUAAUUCCAGCUCCAAUAGCGUAUAUUAAAGUUGUUGCGGUUAAAAAGCUCGUAGUUGAAUUUCGGGGUUAGUAGGUUGGUCAUGCCUCUGGUAUGUACUGGUCUCACUGAUUCCUCCUUCCUGAUGAGCCGUAAUGCCAUUAAUUUGGUGUUGCGGGGAAUUUGGACUGUUACUUUGAAAAAAUUAGAGUGUUUAAAGCAAGCUAACGCUUGAAUACAUUAGCAUGGAAUAAUGAAAUAGGACGUUCGAUCCUAUUUUGUUGGUUUCUAGGAUUGACGUAAUGAUUAAUAGGGAUAGUUGGGGGCAUUAGUAUUCAAUUGUCAGAGGUGAAAUUCUUGGAUUUAUUGAAGACUAACUACUGCGAAAGCAUUUGCCAAGGAUGUUUUCAUUAAUCAAGAACGAAAGUUAGGGGAUCGAAGACGAUCAGAUACCGUCGUAGUCUUAACCAUAAACUAUGCCGACUAGGGAUCGGAUGAUGUUAAUUUUUUAAUGACUC